rnacentral:misc_RNA from 1 species
UGAUGAUGAUGAUGAUGAUUAUAUCUGUGAUGAUACUUCCAUGCUCGUCACUCAAUCAUGUUGAAAUGACAAGCCUAAAACCAUUCGAAGGAUUUGGGAUCAAUGGACCAACUCAAAUGGAUAUAACAUGUCGUGUUCAAGCAGAAGACUUAUUAUUCUUCAGACUCAGGCGUAACAAUGAAUCGUUGUUGAUAUUGGUUUCCACGAAGUUGUGGGAGUUUUUGAAGUCAUCUAUGCCGCGAAAGAUUUCGGUUGCAUCUUACCGCGAGUUGCAGCGACUAGAGGUGAAUUGCAUUGUUGGAAAAAUAACUUGGAUUGCAGAGAUGUAGCAUCUUAUACAUGUGAGAUAUCGAAUGCAAUCGAGUCGAAUUCAAGGUUUCUCAAAGUGAAAUCUUUUGUCAAAAGUCUUAAAAAUAUCGAUCUACCGUUUGAGAAGAAAAGUAAGGUGUCUACAUUCAGAUGUUUGGCCUAUGUUUCACCAGCUACACACAACUCUGUCACCUUUAGAUGGAUUGUCAGAUAUAAAAUGCCAAACACUGAACCACACAUGACAGACGCGAAAGUGUCUGUUCCGAAAAUUGGUCAAUGCUGCAUGCCAAUGCAGUCGCUAUAUCGACACAAGUUAACCAACAAAGAUGACACUGGGACAACGAUCUCAUGUUCGGCAUUUGGGAAAACACUUUCAGAAGAAGUGAAUAUCCUCGGUGCAAUAUCUGGCAGCCCCAUUUCUGCUCUACCACAUACAGCAUGGUUUUCUGUCUCCAAAAUUUCUCUUCUCUUUCUGGUUCUUGCAAGUUGCCGCUAGCAUCAUCCCGUUUUUGCUCCAGGAAUUAUAAGGAAGGUGUAUUCGUUGUUUAGUGCUCGGACGAUUUUGACAACGGGAUGUGGACAAGAUUCAUCCAAUCGCAAAAAAAAAGGUCGAGAAAAUAUUUAGGAAAUUUCAUCACAUUUCGACAGGAAGAACUAUUGCCAAAUUUUCUCUAAUUCUUAUUUGACCUGGAUCAAAUAUGUCACGUGGUUACAAUGCUUUCGUUCGAGGCAGUCGACGCUCGUUUUCUCUACCAACCAACAUGGUGACGACGACGACGACGACGACAACGAUGAUGAUGAUGAUGAUGAUUAUAUCAGUGAUGAUACUUCCAUGCUCGUCACUCAGUAAGUUCAGAUUAAAAACAAUAA